GUUUUAUGGUGGAUUGUGUUACUUAUUUAUGGAACAUAAUUACUGUUUACCGUCUGCCGCUGGUUCUGUUGACAGUGACAGCUCCCAUAAACACGGAGAGAGCUUCGUGACAAACUUCAACUAGAAAAAGAUGCCAAUCUUGCUUGUGUUUUACUCGACAGGAAAAACUAUUUCUGGUUUGGAAUGACAUUAUGGUGAGUAAAUCAUGACUGAAUUUUAAUUUUGGAUGAACCAUGAAGUUGCAAUGUCAAAUUGAAUAAACACAUUGAUAGUACUAAAC